GACAGAGGUGCCGAGCGUUAGGCGGAAUCACUGGGCUUAAAGCGUGUGUAGGCGGGUCGUUAAGUGCCUUGUGAAAUCCCACAGCUCACCUGUGGAACUGCUUGGCAUACUGGCGAUCUUGAGCCACUUAGGGGCAACCGGAACAAACGGUGGAGCGGUGAAAUGCGUAGAUAUCGUAAGGAAGACCAGUGGCGAAGGCGGGUCUCUGGACAGUUCCUGACGCUGAGGCACGAAGGCCAGGGGAGCAAACGGG
rnacentral:rRNA from 1 species